GGAAUACUCCCUCCGUUCGAAAUUACUUGUCGCAAAAAUAGAUGUAUCUAGACUUAUUUUAGUUCUAGAUAUAUCUAUUUUCGAGACAAGUAAUUCCGAACGAAGGGAGUAUAAA
rnacentral:pre_miRNA from 1 species